rnacentral:rRNA from 1 species
CGAGGAUUCCCUUAGUAACGGCGAGUGAACGGGGAAAAGCCCAGCGCUGAAUCCUGUUGCUCUAACGGGUAACGGGAAGUGUAGCGUAUAGUAGGCGAUUUUCCUUGAUGKCUGUCGACUUAAAUYCUCCUUGACAGGGGCUCCGGAGAAGGUGAAAGGCCUGUACAGUCGAUGRCCGUCUWGGAUUCCGUUCUAYUUGGAGUCGGGUUGUUUGGRAAYGCAGCCCAAAUUAGGUGGUAAACUUCACCUAAGGCUAAAUACGWCCACGAAACCGAUAGYAAACAAGUACCGUGAGGGAAAGUUGAAAAGUACUUUGAAGAGAGAGUUCAAGAGGACGUGAAACCGGUAGGAUGGAAACGGAUAGAGCCAACGAACAAGCCUGUAUUCAGCUAKUCAACUGCGUGCAGCAUGCCUGUGUGCUCGAUAGGGUGCAUGGGUGUGUAUACGUAUGCGGUARGCUAGUGCAUUUGCGRGUGAUGUGCGCCGAGGCGUGUGAUGGGGUAAUAUGAACUGUCURGAGAGGCCUCGCUCCAUUAGGCUUGGUACCUACAGACGGGGAGUAUCGUCCCUGUUGCACGUAGCAAAUGGUUAGGUACAGACGCGUUGUGGUAUAGCCAGGCUGGCGCUCGGGUGAGUCGCAUGCGACGAUCUUGGGUGUUCGGUUUUGGYGGUGCGCCAAUGCCCUGACCGAUCUUCGGCGUAAAAGUUGGUCACCUCUCCGACCCGUCUUGAAACACGGACCAAGGAGUCUAGCGUAUGCGCGAGUCAUUGGGUGGAAAACCCAUAGGCGUAAUGAAAGUGAAGGUCUCUUUCYGAGACUCAUAUGCGAUCCGUUGCAUUACGGUGYAGCGGAGCAGCAUAGCCCCAUCUCGACUGCUUGCAGURGGRUGGAGGUAGAGCGUAUUCGCUGGUACCCGAAAGAUGGUGAACUAUGCCUGAGCAGGAUGAAGCCAGAGGAAACUCUGGUGGAGGUCCGAAGCGCUUCUGACGUGCAAAUCGAUCGUCUGACUUUGGUAUAGGGGCGAAAGACUAAUCGAACCAUC